AAGAGCGUAGUGCGGUAAAUCCGCACGCUACGUUCUGUGGGAACGGGAGGCGGGCGACCGCCUUCCGUGACCCGGUGGGCGGUCAGCAAUGACCGUCCCUACCGCGCUUCACAUUGAGCUUUUCCGGUUUUGACCCAAU
rnacentral:misc_RNA from 1 species